GUGCACCUGCCCUUCCUCCCUCUGGCUGAGGCUCUUGAGGGCUGCUCGCUGCAGAGUCCCAGGAAAGGCAGGUGGCCUGCUGGCUCUGCAGAGGUCUUUGCAGACCCAGGAUUGGGGGGAGUCUCCUGCUGAGGCCGAUGUAUGUGGGGGAGCCACAUGGUCCAGCGGGAGGCCUGAGUCUUGUGUCUGUCCCGCCAGGUGGAUGGUGACUGCAGGGCCACCGAGAAGACUCAGUCGACCUGCCCAGGACAGAGCCCCGCCUGCCAGGCCUUCUUCCAGGACCCCCGUUCCAGCUUGGGGAACUGAUUCCGGGUGGUGAGUGUGAGCCUGGCCCCUGGGGCACAGAAAGCCCUUUCCCCAGUCUACCUGGGAAGUGGCAUGGAGGAGGGGCCUAAGUUAGAGACAGUGACUGGGUGGCCCAAUUUCAGGUGGACCCUGAAUCAUUCCUCAGUCUGUGUGUGCAGGACCCCUGUGGCACCUAGAGCUCCAGCCUGCCUGCACUCUGGCGGCCACCUACAUCCACCUGUGUGCCCGCAACUUUGGGCCCCUGGCCCCUCCUCCACAGUGCGGUAAGCUGCCCCAGCCGGCUGGCACUCUGCCCCCUGUCUGCCAUCUGCCUUCCAGCUGGAGGGAAAAUCCAUCUCUCUCUCUUGCCAGGGAGAACAAAUAAUCGUCAUUCAAGGAGCUAAGAGUCAAAACAAAACAUUUACGGCCUAAUACACCUUGGAUGUGUGUCCCCUCCAAAACUCACGUUUGUUGGAGGGGGUACAUCCCUCAUGGAUGGCUUAGCAUCCUGCGUUUGGUGAAGCAUGGGUUCUUGCUCCGUUAGUUCACCUGAGAGCAGUUUUUUUAUAAAAAGCCUGGCCCUUCCUUUUCUCUCUUUGCACCCACUCCCAUUUCUGCCAUGAUCAUAAGCUUCCCGAGGCCACGCCAGAAGCCAAGCAGAUGCUGGAGCUGUGCUUGUACAGCCUGCAGAACUCAACAGAAGCCAGUGGAGUAAGAGAAAGUAAGCAUGAGGUUAGAGAUGAUCCGCAGCUCAACUAUUACUGAAGGAAAUAACCUCUCAGCACUGAUCUGUCUAGAGAUCUCUUCACCACAAAUGGACACUUACUCAAGGGAUACAUCCACAUGUUCAUUUACAUACUGUCUGUGUCUGCUCUCCUGCUAAAGCAGCAGAGUACUGCCAAGAGAGACCAUAUUUUUGCUCUCUGAAAGACUCGAUUAGAAAGAUGGAAAGAUAAGCUACAGAUUGGAAAAAGUUUACAAAUCACCUAUCAGACCAAGGACUCAUCUCCAGAGACUCAUCUCUACAAUAUAUAAAGAACUCAAAGCUCAAAAGUAGGCCAGGUGCAGUGGCUCACGCUUGUACUCCUUGCACUUUUGGAGGCUAAGGUGAGAUGGCUUGAACCCGGGAAAUCAAGGCUGCAGUGAGCCAUGAUUACACUCCUUGCUGCAUGACAGAGUGAGACCUUGUCUCACAAAACAAAACCUCCAAAGUAAAAAAUGGGAAAUAAACACAUCAACAAUGUUUGGACUCCCAGCCGUAGAGAAACAGGGUAGUGCUACACACCUGAGAUCCGGUGAGUUCCGGCACGGGUUGGUGAGUUCCAGGGACUCUGCAGCAUAAAGCAUUAGUUGAACAUCCAAAUGGCCAGGUUGUGAUUUCAGCAUCCACUGAUGAGUGCACUAUAAAAAGCACUGUUCUAGUACCAAAAAGGUGGUGGCUGCUGAG